rnacentral:lncRNA from 1 species
GCCCCUCCUCCCUUUCCAAAGGGAGCUGCUCACCUUUGCUCUCCUGUCAGCGAGUCCCCUCUCUGUAUUCCAGCCCCUGGGCCCCCACCUGGCCCCCAUCCAGCUGCCCCUGGGGCCCCUCUCUCCUCUCCGUGGCCUCGCUCCGUCUCAGCCCCUCGUCCUCCGUGGCUCCCCGAGCGUGGGCAGCGUGGUGGACUCCGACCUGAUGGCCAGGGAAGGAACUCAGCUUGCAGAGAUCUGUAAGCCCACUGGGCACACCAGGAACCUGCUGGGCUUGCUCUGUGACGACGAGAAGAUUUCCUUGGACACGGCGGCUCUGGAUAAAUGGAGGAACGAGGAGGACGACAGUGAAAAUGAGAGUUUCCGUGGGACAUCAGGACUGCUAAAAAACCUGUACUUGGAUGUGGACGCCCUGGGAGGCAGCUUUGACUUUGAGCUUUCAAAGGCGUCGGAGAUCAGUGGGGAGGACCUGCAUGUCUCCAACAGCUCCAACAGGGAGCUGGCUCAGCCUGUGGUGAGUCACCAAAAACUCCUUGUCCCUUGGGUGUGGGGCUUCAGGUUCCUCUGGGAUGGUGCAGCCAGGGAGUGCU